UUAUUACUCCCUCCGUCCCAAAAUUCUUGUCUUAGAUUCGUCUAGAUACGGAUGUAUCUAACACUAAAACGUAACUAGAUACAUCCGUAUUUAGACAAAUCUAAGACGAGAAUUUUGGGACGGAGGGAGUAGAUU
rnacentral:pre_miRNA from 1 species